rnacentral:rRNA from 1 species
UACAGAGGGUGCGAGCGUUGUUCGGAAUUAUUGGGCGUAAAGAGCUCGUAGGCGGUCUGUCGCGUCUGCUGUGAAAACUCGGGGCUUAACCCCGGGCCUGCAUUCGAUACGGGCAGACUAGAGUUCGGUAGGGGAGUCUGGAAUUCCUGGUGUAGCGGUGAAAUGCGCAGAUAUCAGGAGGAACACCGGUGGCGAAGGCGGGACUCUGGGCCGAUACUGACGCUGAGGAGCGAAAGCGUGGGGAGCAAACAGG